AAGAAACUAACAUUCACGGAGGGCCUGCUAAGCGUUCUCACUAGGUUUCAAUGCAGUGUUACGGACCAGAGUUCUUGGCCUCUUUAAUCAAUAGAAACUGAUCAGGGGCCAGGAAGAAACUCAGGAAGGGGCACACCACACACCCAGAAGGGUUCCCUGGAAGGACAGGUGACGGGUGGGCAGGGCCCAGCUCAGCCGUGGGAGAAGAAGGGCCCAAGCGGCUCACACCGCAGAGGAGGUUCUGGGAACAGAAACCACAGGCUGACAAGGUCAGAGGAGCCUCUCCUCCCAGCCUGAGGACUCUGCUAACGGCUGUGCACACCCACCCCCCGGGGCCUCCGUGGAGAUGGGCUCCGGGAUGACUGAGCGGUCACCAUGGCGUCUGUCGGCCAGCACUGGGUUUAGUGAAGAAGUCUGGGGACUUCCCUGGUGGUCCAGUGGCCAAGAACCCACCUGCCAAUGCAACACACGCAGAUUCCGUCCCGGCUCCAGGAAGAUCCCACAACCACGGGGCAGCUGACCCCGCGGUCCACGGCCACGGAGCCGGCCUGCCUAGAGCCCAGGAGUCGCAACCAGAGAGGCCGCCACCGUGAGAGGCCCACUCGCUGCAGCUAGGGCAAAGCUGAAGCAGCAGUGAAGACCCUGCACAGCCAAAAACAAUAAACAAUUUUUAAAAAAAGAAGUUUGUUGAUACAUCAGACUCAGCUCCCCAUUAGUA